rnacentral:rRNA from 1 species
UGCAAWAACAGGUCKGUGAUGCCCUUAGAUGUCCUGGGCCGCACGCGCGCUACACUGAAGGUAUCAAAGUGUGUUUUCCUAGCCUGAGAAGGCCGGGUAACCCGCUGAAACCCCUUCGUGCUUGGGAUUGGGGCUUGCAAUUAUUCCCCACCAACGAGGAAYGCCCAGUAAACGUGAGUCAUAAUCUCGCGUUGAUUACAUCCCUGCCCUUUGUCCACACCGCCCGUCGCUACUACCGAUUGAAUGAUUUAGUGAGGUCUUCGGACUGAGACUCGAUCUCCUUCACGGGAGAUUGGUGAACUCGGGAAGAUGACCGAACUUGAUCAUUUAGAGGAAGUAAAAGUCGUAACAAGGUUUCCGUAGGUGAACCUGCGGAAGGAUCA